rnacentral:rRNA from 1 species
GAUGAACGCUGGCGGCGUGCCUAAUACAUGCAAGUCGAGCGAACAGACGAGGAGCUUGCUCCUCUGACGUUAGCGGCGGACGGGUGAGUAACACGUGGAUAACCUACCUAUAAGACUGGGAUAACUUCGGGAAACCGGAGCUAAUACCGGAUAAUAUAUUGAACCGCAUGGUUCAAUAGUGAAAGACGGUUUUGCUGUCACUUAUAGAUGGAUCCGCGCCGCAUUAGCUAGUUGGUAAGGUAACGGCUUACCAAGGCAACGAUGCGUAGCCGACCUGAGAGGGUGAUCCGCCACACUGGAACUGGGACACGGUCCAGACUCCUACGGGAGGCAGCAGUAGGGAAUCUUCCGCAAUGGGCGAAAGCCUGACGGAGCAACGCCGCGUGAGUGAUGAAGGUCUUCGGAUCGUAAAACUCUGUUAUUAGGGAAGAACAAAUGUGUAAGUAACUAUGCACGUCUUGACGGUACCUAAUCAGAAAGCCACGGCUAACUACGUG